AUGGCCCUUGAUAUCAUUCUUAGAUUGGAUUUGGCCCAAGAAAGUAGAACAUUGAGCUUUGAGGAGAGGGACCUUCGGAGGAAGCUCAAAAGAAAGAUUGUGGCCCUUGCCGUUCUUGAGAGAACUAGAAAGAGACAAAGCUCCAGGGUUACUUUGCUCAAAGAGGGUGAUGCCAACACGCGUUUCUUCCACCUUCGCGUCAACCACAGAAGAAGAAAAAAAUUUAUUCAUCGGUUGAAACAUAACAAUGGAUGGGUCACAAACCACGAGGAUAAGAAGACGAUUGCACAAGAACACUUUAGGAAGGCCAUCAAAAAAGGGGUGCCCCGUGCUAUGGACCUCAACUGGGAAUUCAUCCCUGCUCCGGUUUCUGACCUCGCAGACUUGGCGAUGCCUUUCUCGUUGGAGGAGGUCAAGGCGGCAAUCUUUGCCCUCCCUAGUGAUAAAGCCCCAGGCCCUGACGGAUUCACCAGAGCCUUCUUCAAAGAGUGUUGGGAAAUAGUCCAACCUGAAAUCAUGGAGGUCAUCAACAACUUCUCUAACCUUCAUGUCUCCAACUUGCAUUGGCUGAACUCGGCAAACAUAGCUCUCAUUCCGAAGAAAGAUGGUGCAGAGGACAUCUCAGAUUUUCGACCAAUUAGUCUCAUCCAUGGUAUUGCCAAGAUCAUUGCAAAAAUGAUGGCCACACGGCUCACUCCUCAUAUGCACAAACUAGUCUCCAAUGCACAGAGUGCUUUCAUCAAGAAAAGAAGUAUCCAUGACAAUUUUAUGUAUGUGCGCAACUUGGCUAGGCGCUUCCAACGCAAAACUACACCAACUUUGCUUUUCAAGCUUGACAUAAAGAAGGCUUUUGAUUCGGUGCAUUGGGAUUACUUGAUGGAUUUGCUGCGCCACCAUGGCUUCCGAAGUCGCUUCAGAGAUUGGAUCUCCGCCCUUCUUUCCUCGGCAUCUUCGCGUGUGUUGCUCAAUGGUAUUGCCGGUGACCCAAUUCGGCAUGGUCGGGGCCUUCGUCAAGGGGACCCUCUCUCCCCAUUGCUAUUUGUGCUUGCCAUUGACCCGUUGCACCACAUCCUUGCCAAGGCGACUUCUCAAGGUCAUCUUCAACCGCUCAGAGGUCGACCCAUCCGUGCGUCACUUUAUGCUGAUGACGCUGCCAUUUUAAUUGCCCCAAUAAAAAAUGGCAUUCAGUUCCUGGCUUCAACUCUUGCAUCCUUUGGUGAUGUUACAGGAUUGGUCACUAAUUGUGCCAAAAGUGUAGUUGCGCCCAUUCGAUGCGGUAACAUUGACCUUGAUGACGUCCUGCAAGCCUUCCUAGCGGUUCGCUCCACCUUCCCUAUGAGAUAUUUGGGGCUUCCCCUUUCGGUUUCAAGGCUUAAGAGGAUUCACUUUCAGUUCUUAGAGGAUAAAGUUGCGGGGAAACUACCACCUUGGGUUGCCAAACAUGUGGCCGCGCCAGGUCGUGUCGUCUUGGUCAAGGCAGUGCUUACCGCCAUUGCUAUAUAUCAUAUUACGCCCCUGGAAUUGCCGGUGGAAGUGAGGAAGAAGAUUGACAGCUUGCGGCGUGCCUACCUUUGGGCGGGUUGCGAUAAAGUGACCGGUGGAAAAUGUAAGGUCAACUGGGAACUUGUUUGCAAGCCCAAGAUCUUCGGUGGUUUGGGCAUCCUCAACCUUGAGAAGUUUGCU
rnacentral:rRNA from 1 species